rnacentral:rRNA from 1 species
UGGGGAAUAUUGGGCAAUGGGCGCAAGCCUGACCCAGCAACGCCGCGUGAAGGAAGAAGGCUUUCGGGUUGUAAACUUCUUUUAUGAGGGACGGAAACAAAU